rnacentral:rRNA from 1 species
GGGCGUUAAGUUGCAGGGUAUAGACCCGAAACCCGGUGAUCUAGCCAUGGGCAGGUUGAAGGUUGGGUAACACUAACUGGAGGACCGAACCGACUAAUGUUGAAAAAUUAGCGGAUGACCUGUGGCUGGGGGUGAAAGGCCAAUCAAACCGGGAGAUAGCUGGUUCUCCCCGAAAGCUAUUUAGGUAGCGCCUCGUGAAUUCAUCUCCGGGGGUAGAGCACUGUUUCGGCUAGGGGGCCAUCCCGGCUUACCAACCCGAUGCAAACUGCGAAUACCGGAGAAUGUUAUCACGGGAGACACACGGCGGGUGCUAACGUCCGUCGUGAAGAGGGAAACAACCCAGACCGCCAGCUAAGGUCCCAAAGUCAUGGUUAAGUGGGAAACGAUGUGGGAAGGCCCAGACAGCCAGGAUGUUGGCUUAGAAGCAGCCAUCAUUUAAAGAAAGCGUAAUAGCUCACUGGUCGAGUCGGCCUGCGCGGAAGAUGUAACGGGGCUAAACCAUGCACCGAAGCUGCGGCAGCGACGCUGAUGCGUUGUUGGGUAGGGGAGCGUUCUGUAAGCCUGCGAAGGUGGCCUGUGAGGGUUGCUGGAGGUAUCAGAAGUGCGAAUGCUGACAUAAGUAACGAUAAAGCGGGUGAAAAGCCCGCUCGCCGGAAGACCAAGGGUUCCUGUCCAACGUUAAUCGGGGCAGGGUGAGUCGACCCCUAAGGCGAGGCCGAAAGGCGUAGUCGAUGGGAAACGGGUUAAUAUUCCCGUACUUGGUGUUACUGCGAAGGGGGGACGGAGAAGGCUAUGUUGGCCGGGCGACGGUUGUCCCGGUUUAAGCGUGUAGGUGUGUGUUCCAGGUAAAUCCGGUUCACUUUAACACUGAGGCGUGACGACGAGGCACUACGGUGCUGAAGCAACAAAUGCCCUGCUUCCAGGAAAAGCCUCUAAGCAUCAGGUAACAUCAAAUCGUACCCCAAACCGACACAGGUGGUCAGGUAGAGAAUACCAAGGCGCUUGAGAGAACUCGGGUGAAGGAACUAGGCAAAAUGGUGCCGUAACUUCGGGAGAAGGCACGCUGACACGUAGGUGAAGUGAUUUACUCAUGGAGCUGAAGUCAGUCGAAGAUACCAGCUGGCUGCAACUGUUUAUUAAAAACACAGCACUGUGCAAACACGAAAGUGGACGUAUACGGUGUGACGCCUGCCCGGUGCCGGAAGGUUAAUUGAUGGGGUCAGCGCAAGCGAAGCUCCUGAUCGAAGCCCCGGUAAACGGCGGCCGUAACUAUAACGGUCCUAAGGUAGCGAAAUUCCUUGUCGGGUAAGUUCCGACCUGCACGAAUGGCGUAAUGAUGGCCAGGCUGUCUCCACCCGAGACUCAGUGAAAUUGAACUCGCUGUGAAGAUGCAGUGUACCCGCGGCAAGACGGAAAGACCCCGUGAACCUUUACUAUAGCUUGACACUGAACAUUGAGCCUUGAUGUGUAGGAUAGGUGGGAGGCUUUGAAGUGUGGACGCCAGUCUGCAUGGAGCCGACCUUGAAAUACCACCCUUUAAUGUUUGAUGUUCUAACGUGGACCCGUGAACCGGGUUGCGGACAGUGUCUGGUGGGUAGUUUGACUGGGGCGGUCUCCUCCUAAAGAGUAACGGAGGAGCACGAAGGUUGGCUAAUCCUGGUCGGACAUCAGGAGGUUAGUGCAAUGGCAUAAGCCAGCUUGACUGCGAGCGUGACGGCGCGAGCAGGUGCGAAAGCAGGUCAUAGUGAUCCGGUGGUUCUGAAUGGAAGGGCCAUCGCUCAACGGAUAAAAGGUACUCCGGGGAUAACAGGCUGAUACCGCCCAAGAGUUCAUAUCGACGGCGGUGUUUGGCACCUCGAUGUCGGCUCAUCACAUCCUGGGGCUGAAGUAGGUCCCAAGGGUAUGGCUGUUCGCCAUUUAAAGUGGUACGCGAGCUGGGUUUAGAACGUCGUGAGACAGUUCGGUCCCUAUCUGCCGUGGGCGCUGGAGAACUGAGGGGGGCUGCUCCUAGUACGAGAGGACCGGAGUGGACGCAUCACUGGUGUUCGGGUUGUCAUGCCAAUGGCACUGCCCGGUAGCUAAAUGCGGAAGAGAUAAGUGCUGAAAGCAUCUAAGCACGAAACUUGCCCCGAGAUGAGUUCUCCCUGAGACUU